UGUGUUUCUUUUUGCCGUCAGCAUGUGCACAAUUUGUAACUUUGGUAUAUUUUCAAAAUGUCACGUAAAAUAUUGAAACAACUGCAAACUGUCACAGCUGCAGCUGUUGUGAAAUGCAUUGUAUAAAUGAAGUUGUAUAGAAUUGUAUUGUGUAAUGUUUUUCAAAGGACACCACGAUGACAUUCAAAACCAACUGCAGUCUGAAAUGAAGUACAGUGGAAGCAUAAAGCUAGAUGAAAAUAAUACGUUAAAUCACAUAAAAAUCAAAAAAGAGACAAAAAUCAUCCUUGGACAUGUACC